GAGGAAUCAAGUGAGAGCUUGAGAAAUAGAGAAGAAAGAGUUAGGGAGAAAUUUUUAGUUGCAAGAAGAGUAGAGGUUCUGAAGGGUUUCGGGGGAAACAAAUUCGGAGCAGGAGAUUAAGUCUGGAAUAGAGAUGAAGGAAUGUCGCCUCACAUAGUACCAAGGAAAGAGGAGUCGAAGAACUAUAAUUAGAAUCUUUUUACAUGUAUAGACUUAUAUCAACUAGGAAAUUUUAAAGGGUGAGAUUACGGAAUGUUACCGUAAAUGUAAUGUUAAUUAUCAAGUGUGAAAAUUUGGGAUGUUACAUUAAUGUGAAAAGUUGGGAUGUUACAUUAAUGUGAGAAUUUGGGAUGUUACAACCAA